AACGUACCUCUGGGCGGCCGUGUUCGCAUCCACCACCCCAGCCGUGUGCAUCCACGAUCGGACCGAAUUCAUGCCACUGCCCAGCGGUUCCUCUUUCAUAGUGGUCCCCCCUCUUGGUAUAUUUUCCUGAAUCCCAAACAUUAAAACAGUUCGCGUGCAACACACUUCCAGCCAAAGAGAUGAAAUGAGAGUGUGAGCGAGGGCGCGUCGUCUCUCCAAGAGCCCCUUCGGAUAGCCGUGAGAGUUUGUUUGGGAUUUGUCGAAAAGAGAAGAAGAAGAAGAAGAAAAGAAAAAGCUGUCCCGACUCCUUCUUCAGUCCGUCCUGCGUUGGCACCACAUGAACGAUUCAGUGCGUGAAGAUUCUCAAGCCUCUCCAAGCAGCUUGUUUGGAUAGAUGGAGAUCCUCCCGUGGAAGAAGCGAAACAAGUCGCGCAAAUAGCAGGGAUAUUAGACUCGUUUUAAUUCAGUUAAACAUUUCUUGCAGCUUUCUGUUGUUGUUGUUGUUGUUGUUGAUGAUGAUGAUGAUGAUGGAGGUGAUGAUGCUCUUAGCUUGGUGGCAUCCUAUAACAACAGCAUCAAAAAAGGCUUCGGGACACUGCUGAAUCCAGCACUUCUGGCUCCAAAAGACAAAUAAACGCGUAAAUGAUCACCGUGGAGGUGUUCCCGGACACGGGAGAGGAUGAUGAGGGGCCUUUAGCGCGUCUUUGCAGAAUGGAUGGAAGCAUACAAAACUCAACCCUCUAUCCCCCAGGACUGGAACCUUUCCCGGGAGCCAAAAACUCCAGACCCACGGGAUACACGCUGUCAGAGGAUGACGCGCACGUGGGCGUGGCUUUGCCCAUACAUGGAGAGGAUUGACGCUUCCUGUCGCUGGGCUUUAAGCUUGGACCGUGAGUGCAUACGCGACUAGAGUCGCUGCUGCUGCUGACGCCGCUGCUGCUUUUCCAGUGCGCAUUGUGUCAAGUAAUCAUCAGACAGGGACAAAAAUGAAUGAUAAUGAAAGCCCGCGAAUAAGGCGCGGCGCGCGGGAACUAUAUUUCCUGAAAAACUGCCAUGCAAGUUUAUAGAGUGCAAAAGAGCACUGACUGACCACCCAUCCGCUGCAAUCGGUUUCCAGAAUAAAUAAAUAAAUAAAUAAAAAGUCUUACUGGGCCAUCAUUACUCUGACAGCAGUGCCAAACGUCCCGGACGCAAGCCUCCAAAUCGAUUCAAUUUGAUUACUCUCAAAUCAGGAAGGUGUGCUGGCAUUUUAAGACUACAUGCUCCUUAUAAUAAACACCCUGGGCAUCUGCAUAAUGGCGUAAUGCGCGUCUUAAAUUAUGGCAACGUGUACUGCUUGAAUACUGCGAGACCCGGUUUGCGUGCGUGGAGCGAGCCGAGGCGAUGUCAAACUCAUAGUCCUAGCGCGUACUCGCUUAAUUUUGUAAAUUAUUGCAGAAUUACAUCUGAAAGUGUGAAAGGACUCGGGGGAAACAUUGCGUCCACCCUCUCCUUCUAUGCGCAAGAAGUAGGAUGUCUUUUGUAAUAAAAAUAUAAUCAUUUAUCAGGACAAUAAGGGUCAUUUUCCACCCUUUCAUUUCGUAAGGUGCUCGUGUCUCCGAUAUUGACAGACUCUGCAUGUAUGUUAAUAUUUGAAUUAAUGGGGGAAAAUGGAAGUCCGAUGUUGGUUAUCUGGGGACCCUGUGCGCUGGAGGGAGGGAUGGAUGGAUGGACGGACGGAGAGAGGAGAAGAGAGAUGUGUUUUACACAGCAAUCUAUUCUGCUAGUGUUGGGGGUUAAUGACUAUUGCCAAAGAUAAGUGAAUUAUCAAAGCUGUUGCUCUUGCCUCGACUCAAAAUCCAUCACAUUGCAUCGUCGUCUAAUUAAAUACCUGUAUGUUUUGACAGAUGCUGUCAGAGAAUCUAAGAGCUGUAAAGAGAAAGAAAAAGGCAGAGAAAGUAAGAAAGGAAACCUACUCAGUUGGAGAACGUGAAGAUCAUUCUGAUGUGUGAACUCUGCAUUAUUAACAGACAGAAAGAUGAAGAUGCAGCCGUGAAAAACACCAAGUAAAUGCUUAAAAUAAGUACUGUCAGCUCGGCGCUGUGUACCGGGACCCCAGAGUGGAGAAGUUUUAAAAGAUUGUAGGCACUGACUCAUUUCCACUGAUUCAAAAAUCGAAGGGAACGAACAACGACGUGAUUUUGGUGAACACAUGGCCUUGGUGAAGAGCCGCCCUAGUUUCCUGAGCUGCUCUGCGAGGAAGAGGGUGUGUUAGAAACAGCAUAUGGAGGGCAUGUUUGUUAGUGCGCCGCUGAUAAAUGGAUUAAUUGGUUAGAUUAGGCUGCCAAAGCUUUGAUCACAGAAACAGCGCAAAGAAAUGUGUUUAUUGUUUAUGAUGAUUUUGUUCAUUGAGCUGUAGCAUGGGCUAAAUAUGCAAUGAAUAAAAAUGAUGCAUUCGUGUGUACUUGUUAUUUCCUGUUUGGAGCAGAAAAUAAACUCAUAACUCAUUGUGAAAUGGUUUUGAAUGUGAAAUAUGAGCCGCAAAAGACUUCUGUUCUCAGAACUUGCUUCAUUUUAAGAACUUUUUACAGAACAGUCAACUAGAAUGAAUAUUUCAAACAGUGAAACUUCAUUUCACACAUCAGUUGGAUUAUAAACAAAGUCAACCG
ensembl:lncRNA